AGUGAACGCUGGCGGUAGGCCUAACACAUGCAGGUCGAACGGCAGCACAGGAGAGCUUGCUCUCUGGGUGGCGAGUGGCGGACGGGUGAGGAAUACAUCGGAAUCUACCUUUUCGUGGGGGGUAACGUAGGGAAACUUACGCUAAUACCGCAUACGACCUACGGGUGAAAGUGGGGGACCGCAAGGCCUCACGCGAUUAGAUGAGCCGAUGUCCGAUUAGCUAGUUGGCGGGGUAAUGGCCCACCAAGGCGACGAUCGGUAGCUGGUCUGAGAGGAUGAUCAGCCACACUGGAACUGAGACACGGUCCAGACUCCUACGGGAGGCAGCAGAGGAGAAUAUUGGACAAUGGGCGCAAGCCUGAUCCAGCCAUACCGCGUGGGUGAAGAAGGCCUUCGGGUUGUAAAGCCCUUUUGUUGGGAAAGAAAUCCUAUCGGUUAAUAACCGGUGGGGAUGACGGUACCCAAAGAAUAAGCACCGGCUAACUUCGUGCCAGCAGCCGCAGUAAGAC
rnacentral:rRNA from 1 species